GCCAGGCGUGGUGGCAGGCGCCUGUAGUCCCAGCUACUUGGGAGGCUGAGGCAGGAGAUUCGCUUGAGCCCAGGAGUUGGGGGUUGCUGUGAGCUGUGAUGCCAUGGCACUCUACCCAGGGGGAUAGCUUGAGGCUCCAUCUCAAAAAAAAAAACAAAACUUUUUUCGUGUUGUAACUGAAUCGUGAUAUUGAUGAUGAAGUAAUAUAAUGUCAUAACACUUGUAAGGGAUGAUUUUAUUUUUCAACAUCUUCAUUUUCUUUCUUUUUUUUUUUUUUUUUUUGACGGAGCCUCAAGCUAUCCCUCUGGGUAGAGUGCUAUGGCAUCACAGCUCACAGCAACCUCCAACUCCUGGGCUCAAGCGAUUCUCCUGCCUCUG
rnacentral:SRP_RNA from 1 species